GGGACGUAAGUCUUUGGCCUCAGGCCUGCCAGGCCCUGCCUCUGCAAACAAGGGAAUGGGCGCCGAUGGAGGCCCCAACAGCCGAUCAUUUGGUGCGGAGCCGUCGGAGUGCAGGCCCAUCCAGCAGGAGAGAAGAGUCAUUUAGAGCCCAAGCUGAUGCAGGAGAGGCUGACACAGGACAAGUGUCCUUCCUAAAGUGAAGUGUCUGCAUUACUGGGAGUGCAGAUCUCCAUCCAGAGACCAGAGAGUGCAAAUGGUUGAUGGUAUGAAAACAUCACUCGUCAUUCCCUUCCUCUUACAGUUCAUUUGCCAGACGAGUCAGAGGGCUCCACCCGCCUGCAAGGGCUGUGACAUGCUGUUGGCCGCAUGCCUGGCUUUUGGAUUGACUUCUACUGGGUUGGAGCAAAACCAAAGCUUCUGAGCCAAGUGCAAGGGCAGAAGGGCUUCCAAGAACCCCUUGGAAAGAUUGAGAAGUUCAAUCAAGAGGUGACUGGGAACUUCUUAUGCCAAGACACCUUCUCAUCCCUUGCUGGUUUGAAAAGGAGAUUGGAACAUCAUUCACUCCCUUUGCAGUUUCACUGAUACUCCGUUCAAGAAUAAGAGGGAAGGAAUCCUGAGAAACGAGAAGGAAUGAAUCCUGGGGAAUCCUAUUCAGAGCCAGCUUAGCAUGGAAUUACCCCCACCAUCAUUUAGACAUGAAAUUAGCUUCAUUCUGGAUAGAGUGACUGAAACAGAUAAGAACCCAGGUUUGGAGUCAAGCUGACCUUGGUUGGAAUUUGGGUCAUAGGUGAGUGACCCAGAGAAAAUAAUUUCAUCUGAUAAUUUUGUAUCUGAAAAUCUGAA
rnacentral:lncRNA from 1 species